UACAGAGGGUGCGAGCGUUAAUCGGAUUUACUGGGCGUAAGGCGUGUGUAGGCGGUUAUUCACGUCGGUUGUGAAAUCCCCGGGCUCAACCUGGGAACUGCUUCCGAGACUGAAAGACUAGAGUACGGUAGAGGGUGGUGGAAUUUCCGGUGUAGCGGUGAAAUGCGUAGAUAUCGGAAGGAACAUCAAUGGCGAAGGCAGCCACCUGGGCCUGUACUGACGCUGAGACGCGAAAGCGUGGGGAUCAAACAGG
rnacentral:rRNA from 1 species